rnacentral:rRNA from 1 species
GUCUGGUUGAUCCUGCCAGUACUAUACGCUUGUCUUAAAGAUUAAGCCAUGCAAGCACUGUUCAGGUUUUUAACCGAGACAGCGGACAGCUCAGUAGGACGGUUUUAACGAAGGCAGAGCGAGAAGUGGAUAACCGUGGGAAUUCCAUGGCUAAUCAGGAACGAGAUUCGUUUUUUGAAAGAGAGACGGGUUGAUCUGCAUCGGGGACUGGCCCAUCAACUGUAGAGUAGGGUAACGGCCUACGCUGGUGACGACGGGUGCGGGGGAUUAGAGUCCGAUUCCGGAGAGGGGGCCUUCGAGAUAGCCACCAUGUCCAAGGACAGCAGCAGGCGCGAAACUUACCCAAUCCCUUUUGUGGGGGAGGUAGUGACGAGAAAUAGUGUAUACUCUGGAGAACUAGUAAAGAUAGUAUUGAUGAGCGACUAGAGGGCAAGUCUGGUGCCAGCAGCCGCGGUAAUUCCAGCUCUGGUAGCGUAUAGUAAAGUUGUUGCAGUUAAAAGGUCCGCAGUCGUUAGUCGGCCGCGUUGAGCAAAGGGGAGUGAUUUAGGGGCACCAUUAAGCAUUGUCCGGCCGACAUUUCAGGAGGAUUCAGGGUCGAGGGGAAUACGGCGGGAGGAGUGAAACCCGGGGAGCGCCGUGGGACCGACGGAGGCGAAGGCGCUCGACAGGGAUGCGUCCGGUGACCAUGGACGAAGGCCAGGGGAGCGAAGAUGAUUAGAUACCGUCGUAGUCCUGGCAGUAAACGAAGCUGAUUGAGUGAAGCGGUGUUUCACUUUGGCGAAAGAGAUCAGUUCUGGGGGGAGUAUAGUCGCAAGUCUGGAACUUAAAGGAAUUGACGGAAGGGCACCACCAGGGGUGGAGCCUGCGGCUUAAUUUGACUCAACACGGGGAAUUUUACCAGGACGGGCCACGGGGACGAGCGAGUUCGCGAUUCCGGACGCGGUGGUGCAUGGCCGUUGUUGGUUGGUGGGGUGACCUGUCAGGUUUAUUCCGAUAACGAGCGAGGCCGUUUGAGAAGACGACGCCCUAUUUUAGUGGGGGGAAGGGACGGCAAUAACAGGUCUGUGAUGCCCCUCGAUGUUCUGGGCUGCACGCGGGCUACAGUUAGAUGGCGAAUUGAGUAACGAGAGCGAAGACAUCUAGUGGAGGGGACCGAUGUCUGUAAAGAGAUCGCGAACAAGGAAUCCCUAGUAAGCGUUUUUCAUGAGAGAGCGUAGAAUU